rnacentral:lncRNA from 1 species
GGGCGGUGUUCAUUACGUCAUAGAUGGGAACAACACAGACUUCUGCUCCCAGUCCCGUGGAGCUGGCGCUGCUGAUGUUCAAGGGCAAUGCGUGCUUAGAGGGCUUUCAGUGUCUGGGAACCGAUCCAAGUCGGAGGCUUGUUCAUUAUACCUCCCAUGCCGCAGGCAUUCAGAAGGGCUCUCCGCAUUGAAAUUGCAACUUUUUCUCACCUGGCUGCAAAGAGAACCCACUGCGUUUAGAACAGCGCACCAAGGGAGAGAUUUUCUCCCUUCAACAGCAUCCUUUUGGACCUGGCCGAUAAGAUACAUGCAAAAAAGAAGCCCGGCUUGAAGAUUGAGUACGAUGCCAAGAUUGAGCCUGGAACAACCCCACCGUGUCUUUCUUGGGUAACGUGAAUAUCACUCUUGAAUAUGGCCUCAUUAAUCAAAGCCUCAAAUGCUCCGAGAGUUCUGAUGGAAGGGAUGGGGCAACAGGCGCUUUCAUCAUUUCCAUAAUUAAAAAAAAAGUGCUGGAGUCUCUCCCCUUGCUUGGUGCCUCUGGUUACGGGCAGCUGACACCUGCCUUCUGCGUACAUGUUGUUCUUUCCUACCAGUUUCCCUUUGUUACCAAGGAGUGGGCCCCACGUUGCCGCCUUGGUGGGAAGGAAAAUCUUAUGCAAAAU